AACCUUCGCAAUACGCGAAAGCGUGACGAGGUCACUCCGAGUGCCACUCGCUGAGGGUGGCUUUUCCCAAGUCUAAAAAGCUUGGGGAAUAAGGGGAGGGUAAGUCUGGUGUCAGCCGCCGCGGUAAUACCAGCUCCCCGAGUGGUCGGGACGUUUAUUGGGCCUAAAGCAUCCGUAGCCGGUCUUGUAGGUCUUCUGUUAAACCCAAUGGCCCAACCGUUGGACUGCAGAAGAUACCGCAGGACUAGGAGGCGGGAGAGGCGGACGGUACUCCAUGGGUAGGGGUAAAAUCCUUUGAUCCAUGGAAGACCACCAGUGGCGAAGGCGGUCCGCCAGAACGCGCUCGACGGUGAGGGAUGAAAGCUGGGGGAGCGAACCGGAUUAGAUACCCGGGUAGUCCCAGCUGUAAACGAUGCGAGCUAGGUGAUGGAGUGGCUGUGUGCCAUUCCAGUGCCGCAGGGAAGCCGUUAAGCUCGCCGCCUGGGGAGUACGGCCGCAAGGCUGAAACUUAAAGGAAUUGGCGGGGGAGCACCACAAGGGGUGAAGCCUGCGGUUUAAUUGGAGUCAACGCCGGGAACCUUACCCAGGGAGACAGCAGAAUGAAGGUCAGGCUAAAGACCUUACCAGACAAGCUGAGAGGAGGUGCAUGGCCGUCGCCAGCUCGUGCCGUGAGGCGUCCUGUUAAGUCAGGCAACGAGCGAGACCCUUACCACUAGUUGCUACCUCCAUCCGAAAGGAUCGAGGGGCUAAUUAGUGGGACUGCCGUCGCUAAGGCGGAGGAAGGAAGGGGCCACGGCAGGUCAGUAUGCCCCGAAACCCUGGGGCCACACGCGGGCUGCAAUGGUAGGGACAAUGGGUUCCGACCCCGAAAGGGAGAAGCAAUCCCCAAACCCUACCCCAGUUGUGACUGAGGGCUGCAACCCGCCCUCAUGAAUCUGGAAUCCCUAGUAACCGCGUGUCACCAUCGCGCGGUGAAUACGUCCCUGCUCCUUGCACAUACCGCCCGUCGCUUCACCCGAGUUGGAUUCAGGUGAGGUGGCGUCAUGUUGGCGCUAUCGAACCCGAAUUCGGCAAGGGGGGAG
rnacentral:rRNA from 1 species